rnacentral:rRNA from 1 species
CUCGUAGGCGGCCAACUAAGUCAGACGUGAAAUCCCUCGGCUUAACCGGGGAACUGCAUCUGAUACUGGAUGGCUUGAGAUUGGGAGGAGGGAUGCGGAAUUCCAGGUGUAGCGGUGAAAUGCGUAGAUAUCUGGAGGAACACCGGUGGCGAAGGCGGCAUCCUGGACCAACACUGACGCUGAGGAGCGAAAGCCAGGGAGCGAAC